rnacentral:lncRNA from 1 species
AUGGGAGGAGGGGCGGAGCCACGGAGCAGGGUGUUGUCCUCGAUGACUGACUGUCUGCUGCCACCCACGCUCUGGAGAGCUUCUUUCUCAUCAGAACGUUCCUAUCUCCUUGACAACCCGACACGGUGCUGUGGUGACAAGAGGAAACAGUGCAAACAAUCUCGCAGCGACCCUGAACUGAACCCUUGGAAGCACAGCCUGGCAGAUGUUCGUUAUGCUGCACAGCCAGUCAGCAUGGGGAAGCUGGGACACGGAGCCUGGGACUCAGCCCUCCGUGCCCAGAGGUGCAGUCUGAGGACGCCAAGAGCUCACCACACAGAUUGGAGGAAGAGUUGGGCAGCAAGGACGGAGGGGAGACUAAGGAAGGGGCGCUGAGGGAAGAAAGACCAGCUAGGCCAAGAGCUUCCCACAUUCUUUUCCCUUGACACUCUACAGCCCAAUACUCCCAUCUGGAAGGAAAAAAAAUACAGAGAGUCCUGACUUAGGAUGCUAUUACCGAAUGAUUCUCGACUUCACAAUGGCACGAAAAUGACGCACAUUCAGUAGACCCCGUACUUGGAAUUCUGAAUUUUGAUCUUUUCCCAGACUGGGCAUAUAUGGGAUAAUCCCGUUUGGUCCUGCUGGACAGGGUGGUCAGCUCCCAGCUCCCAGCUCCCAGCUGGCCCUGCGAUCGCCAGAGUCAGCAAUGAUAGUUACAGCCAUCCAGGACCCGCAUAGCCAUUCUGUUUAACACUUUCAGUACACUCUCCAUAAAUUACAUAAGAGAAUCAACACUUUAUUUUAAAAUGGGCUUUGUAUUAGAUGAUUUUGCCCUACAGUAGGCUAAGGGAUGCAUUCCAAGCACGUUUAACUUAAGCUAGGCUAAGCUACAGUGUUCCGUAGGUUAGGGCUGUUACACACAUUUUUUUCGACCUAAGAUAUUUAAAAUUUAUUAUGGGUUUAUUAGGACAUAUUUUCAAUGUGAGUAGGAAGAUCUACUUUAUACGCACACACACAUAUAUAAGUAAUACAUAUAUGUAUCAGAAUUCUCAUGAAAUUGAGAAGGGGGGAACAGUAGCAUCUUGUGGGGGUUCUUUGGUUGGUGUUUUGUUUGCAUUUGCUUUGCCAGGAAAGGAAAGAAUGAAAAAGCGAGGCAUUGGGAGAGGGAAUGCAUGCAAUUGACAAUAACAAGUAGCUGAGAACUCAUUUAUUCAACUAAUAAAUGCUUUAUGAGCAUUCACUAUAUCCCAUAUAUAGCCUGUUUAAGGAAUUGGGGAUACAGCAGUACACAAAAUAGAAACUCUGCCCUCAUUGAGCUCAUGUUCAUGUGAGAGAGGCAGGUAAUAAGAAUGACAAAUUCUUCCUCUCUGGUUUCACUUUGUUUCAUUUUUCCCUCCCUUCCCCUAUGAUCCUCUGUCUUAUUUCUCAAAUUCCUUGUAUCAGUGAGAUCAUAUCCAUAAGAGACUCUCAAGCUCAGGAAACAAAUUGAGGAUUGCUGGAGGGGAAGCAGAUGGAAAGGAUGGAGUGCCUGGUUGAUGGACAUUGGGGAGGGUAUGUGCUGUGAUGAGAAAAAAAAUAGAGAGAUUGUGUAAGAAGUGGGUCCUGAAACUAAUAUUACACUAUGUGUUAACUAACUGGAAUUUAAAUUUAAAAAC